rnacentral:rRNA from 1 species
CAAUAGCGUAUAUUAAAGUUGUUGCGGUAAAAAGCUCGUAGUUGGAUUUCUGUUGAGAACAACCGGUCCACACAACGUGUGCGCAUCUGGCUUGGUCUCGGCAUCCUCUCGCAGCACUGCUCUGCGCUUGAUUGCGUGGACAGGACUUCGGGACUUUACUUUGAGGAAAUUAGAGUGUUCACGGCAGGCUAUCGCCAGGAUACAUUAGCAUGGAAUAAUACUAUAGGAUCUUGAUCCUAUUUUGUUGGUUUCUAGGAUUAAGAUAAUGAUUAAUAGGGACAAUUGGGGGCAUUCGUAUCAACACGUCAGAGGUGGAAUUCUUGGAUUGUGUUGCGACGAACUACUGCGAAAGCAUUUGCCAAGGAUGUUUUUCAUUGAUCAAGAACGAAAGUUAGGGGAUCGAAGACGAUCAGAU